UACGUAGGGGGCAAGCGUUGUCCGGAUUUAUUGGGCGUAAAGAGCGUGUAGGCGGUUGGGUAGGUCCGUUGUGAAAACUCGAGGCUCAACCUCGAGACGCCGAUGGAAACCCCCCAGCUAGAGUCCGGAAGAGGAGAGUGGAAUUCCUGGUGUAGCGGUGAAAUGCGCAGAUAUCAGGAAGAACACCCGUGGCUAAGGCGGCUCUCUAGUACGGUACUGACGCUGAGACGCGAAAGCGUGGGGAGCAAACAGG
rnacentral:rRNA from 1 species